CUGGUAGUCCACGCCGUAAACGAUGUCGACUUGGAGGUUGUGCCCUUGAGGCGUGGCUUCCGGAGCUAACGCGUUAAGUCGACCGCCUGGGGAGUACGGCCGCAAGGUUAAAACUCAAAUGAAUUGACGGGGGCCCGCACAAGCGGUGGAGCAUGUGGUUUAAUUCGAUGCAACGCGAAGAACCUUACCUACUCUUGACAUCCAGAGAACUUAGCAGAGAUGCUUUGGUGCCUUCGGGAACUCUGAGACAGGUGCUGCAUGGCUGUCGUCAGCUCGUGUUGUGAAAUGUUGGGUUAAGUCCCGCAACGAGCGCAACCCUUAUCCUUUGUUGCCAGCGGUUAGGCCGGGAACUCAAAGGAGACUGCCAGUGAUAAACUGGAGGAAGGUGGGGAUGACGUCAAGUCAUCAUGGCCCUUACGAGUAGGGCUACACACGUGCUACAAUGGCGCAUACAAAGAGAAGCGACCUCGCGAGAGCAAGCGGACCUCAUAAAGUGCGUCGUAGUCCGGAUUGGAGUCUGCAACUCGACUCCAUGAAGUCGGAAUCGCUAGUAAUCGUGGAUCAGAAUGCCACGGUGAAUACGUUCCCGGGCCUUGUACACACCGCCCGUCACACCAUGGGAGUGGG
rnacentral:rRNA from 1 species